AUGACCUCAGAUUCUUAUGAGAUAGAACAGAUUUGACUUCCUUUAUCUAACCUGAGAAUAAAUAAAAUAAGGUAGAAGGUGUGGGAAAUUCAGCACCAUGAAACAGUAUAUGACAGUGGAUUUUUUUUUUAUUUCUUUAUUUUUCUACAUGCUUUAAAUAUAGGAAAAGCCAUUGGAACUGUAUAUCAUGAUGAACUUUGAAGGCAUUGUUAGCAGGGUUUACUCAUAGGAACUUUGCUUUAUAACUGAAUGGCUGGUAGGAUUGUGUAACACUUGAAAGAUCCCCUUUCUGGAUGUGAUGGUUUUUUAUUUUUAUCUUAUUUUAUGGGUGUCAUUUCAUAUACAUAUGCACACAAUGAAUGUCACAGGAGCUUUCCUGACGACGAGCCAUUGCUAUAUAUUUUGUGUUUGACUGCUAUCCAAAAUGAUGAAGUAAUGUCAUAAACCAGCUUUGCAAAAACUGCCAAAUCUCAACCUGAAUUUAAGUUGCUAUUUGAAGCGUUCACACGUGUAACUGUAUUUUUAUCUGUACAGAAGUGAAGAGUAUGUGUGUUCCAGAUGACAGCUACUCUAAAAAAAGAUGGUUCUUUAAAUCUUCUUUACAUGUGGAAACGGUUCCAUUUAGAGCCAUAGCAUUCUGAAGAAUUUAUUUUUAAUACCGAAAUGGUUCCUUGCGUCAGAGUUUAGGGUUCCUUUUUCUUUUUGUUUUUCAAAUCGGUUCAAAGCACUACAUUACUGAGUUUCUGGAGUUCAGUGAAUCCAACUACAGACUGUCAACACAUUCUCAACAGAGUGAGCAGCUCUGGCUGAGAAUAUUUCUCACUAAGUAAAAGAGCAAACUGAUUUUCUGGAGUUCAGCUAUCCAACAACACAGACUGUCAACACACUCUCAACAG